AUUGAACGCUGGCGGCAGGCCUAACACAUGCAAGUCGAGCGGGGUUUUCGGACCUAGCGGCGGACGGGUGAGUAAUGCGUAGGAAGCUACCCGAUAGAGGGGGAUACCAGUUGGAAACGACUGUUAAUACCGCAUAAUGUCUACGGACCAAAGUGUGGGACCUUCGGGCCACAUGCUAUCGGAUGCGCCUACGUGGGAUUAGCUAGUUGGUGGGGUAAUGGCUCACCAAGGCGACGAUCCCUAGCUGGUUUGAGAGGAUGAUCAGCCACACUGGAACUGAGACACGGUCCAGACUCCUACGGGAGGCAGCAGUGGGGAAUAUUGGACAAUGGGCGCAAGCCUGAUCCAGCCAUGCCGCGUGUGUGAAGAAGGCCUUCGGGUUGUAAAGCACUUUCAGCGAGGAGGAAGGGUUAGUAGUUAAUAGCUGCUAAUUUUGACGUUACUCGCAGAAGAAGCACCGGCUAACUCUGUGCCAGCAGCCGCGGUAAUACAGAGGGUGCAAGCGUUAAUCGGAAUUACUGGGCGUAAAGCGCACGUAGGCGGUUUUUUAAGUCAGAUGUGAAAGCCCCGGGCUCAACCUGGGAAUUGCAUUUGAAACUGGAAAACUAGAGUGUGUGAGAGGGGGGUAGAAUUCCAAGU
rnacentral:rRNA from 1 species